rnacentral:rRNA from 1 species
GGUAACGGGGAAUUAGGGUUCGAUUCCGGAGAGGGAGCCUGAGAAACGGCUACCACAUCUAAGGAAGGCAGCAGGCGCGCAAAUUACCCAAUCCUAACACAGGGAGGUAGUGACAAGAAAUAACAAUACGAGGUUUAAUACUUUGUAAUUGGAAUGACGGGAAUUUAAAACCUUUCCGGAGUACCAAUUGGAGGGCAAGUCUGGUGCCAGCAGCCGCGGUAAUUCCAGCUCCAAUAGCGUAUAUUAAAUUUGUUGCAGUUAAAAAGCUCGUAGUUGAAUUUCUGCUGCAUCGUUGAUAUCCCUUUUCGGGUUUUUCUUCGUUGUGGCUUUUUCUGGUUUUAUAUCUUCGGAUUUAUUUCCAGAUUGUUACUUUGAGAAAAUUAGAGUGCUUCAAGCAGGCUUUUGCCUUGAAUACUUUAGCAUGGAAUAACUAAGUAGGACUUUGGUUCUAUUUUGUUGGUUUAAGAGCCAAAGUAAUGAUUAAUAGGAACAGUUGGGGGCAUUCGUAUUUAACU